rnacentral:rRNA from 1 species
GAUGAACGCUGGCGGCGUGCCUAAUACAUGCAAGUCGAGCGACCAGAUAAGCAGCUCCUUCUUUUGCCGAUUGCGGCGGACGGGUGGGUAACUAGUGCGUAUCCCACCUAUAAUACGGGGAUAACCUCGUGACACCGGAGCUACUACUCGCUAAUAUUUCGUCCCGUUUUGAUCGUUAGAAAUACUUGGGUUUUCUGUUUCUAAUAGAUGGACCCGCGCGCUAUUGGCUAGUUGGUAGUGUCACCCCUUACCAAGGCCACGACACGUGGCUGACCUGAGAGGGUGAUCAGCCACACUGGAACUGAGACACGGCCCAGACUACUACGGGAGGGAGCAGUGGGGAAUUUUCUGCAAUGGGCGGAAGCCUGAUGGAGCAAAGCCGAGUGGGGGAAGAAGGUCUUCGGAUGGUAAAGAUCUUUUAUUGGGGAAGAAAAAGAGUAUAAGGAUCAGGGCACGUCUUGACGGUACCUAAUCAGUAAGCAACGGCUAACUACGUG